AAAAAAAGGAAAGUUACAGAUAGAGAGGAAUGAGAACAAACCUGCUGCCAGCGACAUCUGCAUGCAUGUCUCAUUGUGCACUGCUAAAGUGCGUCUCUAGAGACGCCUAGACAUGGGACUCUGGAUGGCAAGAGCACCUUCAUCUUUCCCCGGCUUCCCGAACUGCUCACUGAAGGGAUGGUGCCUACUUACACACCCACUAUCGUGUGAUUUUCUCUUUCCCCAUCCUGGCUCAUACUUACUGAUAAUGGACUCAGAACGUUUGCCGACAUGAUGACUGUGAAAUGGUAGCUCAUUAUUUUAAUUUGUAUUUGUAUUUCCCUGAUUAAUGAAGUUGGACAUCUUUUCAUGUUUACUGACAUUUGGUUUCUUCCUCUGUGAAUUUCCUCUUCAUAUCAUUUGCCAAUGUUUCUGUUGUGAGAUCUUUUUCUUAUUGGCUUAUAGGUAUUUCAUUAAAAAUCUAUUCUGGAUCUUAAUCAUAUCACCAAACAUUUAAUGUGAUUACUAAUACGAUUGCAUUUAAAUCUACCAUCUUACUAGUUAUUUUCUGUGUGUUCCAGGUGUUCAGUGAUACCUCUCUCUCUCUCUCUCUCUCUCCCCAACUGCCUGCUUUGAGGUUGAGGUUUUUUUUUUUAAUUCUAUUUUUAUAUUAGUAUUCUAUUUCUUAGUAAUUUCUAUUUUUCACCAUUCUCUUACUAGUUACAUAUAAUUUUAAAUGGUUGUCCUCAGUUUUACAAUAUACAUCUUUAAUUUUCUAACAGUCUACAUAAAUUAUGCCACUUCACAUAUGGUGUGAUAACCUUACAACAGGUUAUCCCUACCAUCUUUUAUACUGUUGUUAGCAUACAUUUUAUGUUUAUGUAUAUAAUCUCCACAAUACCUUGUUAGAUGGGCAGAUGGCAAAUAUCUUCUCCCAGCCUGUCUUUUAACAUGUUUCAUGGUAAGUGUUGCACAAACAUUAAAAUUAUUUAAAGUAUUAUUUAUAUGCAGUGUAAUGCACAGAUUUCAAGUUUAUGGCUUUUCUAGCUUUGACAAAUGCAAAGACUUAAGUACUCCAUACCUGCCAUCAAGAUAUAAAACAUUUCAGUCGGGCAUGGUGGCUCAUGCCUGUAAUCCUAG
rnacentral:lncRNA from 1 species